rnacentral:rRNA from 1 species
UACGAAGGGGGCUAGCGUUGCUCGGAAUUACUGGGCGUAAAGCGCACGUAGGCGGCUCUUUAAGUCGGAGGUGAAAUCCUGGAGCUCAACUCCAGAACUGCCUUUGAUACUGAAAGUCUUGAGUAUGGGAGAGGUGAGUGGAACUGCGAGUGUAGAGGUGAAAUUCGUAGAUAUUCGCAAGAACACCAGUGGCGAAGGCGGCUCACUGGCCCAUAACUGACGCUGAGGCACGAAAGCGUGGGGAGCAAACAGG